rnacentral:rRNA from 1 species
GUGAGGAAUAUUGGUCAAUGGGCGCAGGCCUGAACCAGCCAAGUCGCGUGAAGGAUGACUGCCCUAUGGGUUGUAAACUUCUUUAGUACAUGAAGAACAGGAUCUACGCGUAGGUUUAUGACGGUAAUGUACAAAAAAGCAUCGGCUAACUCCGUGCCAGCAGCCGCGGUAAUACGGAGGAUGCGAGCGUUAUCCGGAUUCAUUGGGUUUAAAGGGUACGUAGGUGGCCCUGUAAGUCAGUGGUGAAAAUCUGGCGCUUAACGGUAGGGGUGCCAAUGAUACUGCGGGGCUUGAGUACAGUUGAGGUAGGUGGAAUGUGUAGUGUAGCGGUGAAAUGCAUAGAUAUUACACAGAACUCCGAUUGCGAAGGCAUCUUACUAAGCUGAAACUGACACUGAUGUACGAAAGCGUGGGGAUCGAACAGGAUUAGAUACCCGAGUAGUCC